rnacentral:rRNA from 1 species
CACGUAGGUGGCAAGCGUUGUCCGGAUUUACUGGGUGUAAAGGGCGUGUAGCCGGGUUGACAAGUCAGAUGUGAAAUCCUGCGGCUUAACCGCAGAACUGCAUUUGAAACUGUUGAUCUUGAGUACUGGAGAGGCAGACGGAAUUCCUAGUGUAGCGGUGAAAUGCGUAGAUAUUAGGAGGAACACCAGUGGCGAAGGCGGUCUGCUGGACAGCAACUGACGGUGAGGCGCGAAAGCGUGGGUAGCAAACAGG